GACGAACGCUGGCGGCGUGCUUAACACAUGCAAGUCGAACGGAAAGGCCCUGCUUUUGUGGGGUGCUCGAGUGGCGAACGGGUGAGUAACACGUGAGUAACCUGCCCUUGACUUUGGGAUAACUUCAGGAAACUGGGGCUAAUACCGGAUAGGAGCUCCUGCUGCAUGGUGGGGGUUGGAAAGUUUCGGCGGUGGGGGAUGGACUCGCGGCUUAUCAGCUUGUUGGUGGGGUAGUGGCUUACCAAGGCUUUGACGGGUAGCCGGCCUGAGAGGGUGACCGGCCACAUGGGGACUGAGAUACGGCCCAGACUCCUACGGGAGGCAGCAGUGGGGAAUAUUGCACAAUGGGCGGAAGCCUGAUGCAGCAACGCCGCGUGCGGGAUGACGGCCUUCGGGGUGUAAACCGCUUUCGCCUGUGACGAAGCGUGAGUGACGGUAAUGGGUAAAGAAGCACCGGCUAACUACGUG
rnacentral:rRNA from 1 species